GCUUACAGCCAUACCACCCUGAGCGCGCCCGAUCUCGUCUGAUCUCGGAAGCUAAGCAGGGUCGGGCCUGGUUAGUACUUGGAUGGGAGACCGCCUGGGAAUACCAGGUGCUGUAAGCUUAG
rnacentral:rRNA from 1 species